AAAAUAGAAGUAACUUAUACUUUUGGCUUCGGCCCAACUUUUGGCUUAGGCCCUAUUUUU
rnacentral:tRNA from 1 species